UCUCAGUUUAGGGUAAGGAAGCCAGUGUUUCUUGGUGUGGGCACAUAAUAUGGGAUUCAUUGUGCUCGUAGUUUAGGGUAAGGGAGCCAGUGUUUCUUGGUGUGAGCACAUAAGAUGGGAUUCAUUGUGAAGUCUGAAUACGUUCUCAAGUUCAAAAGUAAUCAUGGUUAGUUGGUUACCACAAGUACAGCUGCAGCAGAUUAUGGAUGAGGCAGGCAGAGGAAGGGACAGCCGCGGCAUAUACAAGCAUGGGAAAGGCCUUACAAGUGGAGGCGCUGUUUUAUGCAUCAGUGUUCGCGUGUAUAUUUUUAUUAUGUACAUAGAACACUAAAAGAGGGAGUCACACACACACACACACACACACACCUGACUUUUGACCCCGCCACUCAUUUUCACACCGCCACCUUGAAGAAAAAAAAUGUAUAAAUGCUUUCCACAAAAUAACAACAAAAAAAUAUUAACCAAACUCCACCCAACAGGAGUAAACGUUGCUAUUUCAUAUAUUUUUCAAAUUUUACUUGGGUUCUAGAAUAUCGAGCGGCCAUUAGGGUCAAUAAUUAUGUUUUUCAGUGUUCUCGAAUUUCAAGCGAUCACAGGGACUUUUUAUGCCGUCAGAGCCUGGUCAUUGGCAGAAUAGAUAUAUACUCAUAAUAAGAAUAAUCAAAAGUAGCCAGAGGAAGAGGCCAAAAGUUAAUAGGUUGAGGAAAUUAUGUGUGUGUGUGUGUGUGUGUGUGUUGUUUCGUGCGGACAAAGAAAAAAAAUGUUUAUUAUGAGCAUACUGAACCAUUUUCUGGGGCUAUUUUAGACACGUAGAAUUGCUUGUUUUCUGCGCCAUCUUCCCCUGCUGGUGGUCUGGCUCAUUUUCCACCUGCCCGCUCACACUUCCGUUGCGUGGAGGUAAUAUUUAGGGCAGGUAUUUAUGAUUGACGCUUCAAGACUCCGCUGAACACAAGUAAUAGCAGCUCUAGCUCUAGCCGCGUCUAGCGUUUACUGUAUAACUCAUUUUCCCGUUUCGGAGUUUCGGACAGCAGGUUCAUUUCUAACAGACUGGUUCGAAGCAGUCAAGGAUUUUAGAGUUCAACCUCGAGACUCCUUGGAAACGACACACACAGUCCAGUUGCCUCCCUUGCCUUCUCCGGGUAGGGCCAGAGGACGAGGAUGUGGUUUUGUGUUUCUGGACAGUGUUUAACUUUGCGCUCUGAAGGAGAAGAAAAUGAGGACCGUCACCACACUCAGAAUAUCGGCACCGUCUCCCACACCCUAAUGCUGCCGGACGAGGAGAACUGACCAAUCACAAGCUCGAGGAAGUAGAGUGGCUGACAAGUUCAGGGAUAAAAAAUAACUGAGGUUAGGACAAUUAGGUAAGGGAUGAGGAAGGCGCCGCCACCAUUAUCAAAGGCGGCUGUUGGGAACCUCCACACGUUGCCCAGCCCGACGGAGGUGGCCAUGCAAGCCAUGAUGAAUUCUACAGGGCGGUCCCACUGGUCCCUUGCCUCAUUUGCUAGAUUCUGUUUACAAGGAGAUGCUAAGAGACAUAUUAUGAACUCCAACAAGCACUCACUCACUCCAUCUCUAAUCUGCUUGGGUAAUCUGCUAACAGGACUGAUGAAGGACAUAGGUUCGUCACUUUAAUACAGGAAAGUUGUUGGGCACUUGAAAGUAAAAUACAUGUCCUUCCUUUGUACUUGUUUUGUUAGCCACUAAAAUUAAGAUGUAACUCUUUACCUGCUGGCCUUGGUGUCUUUGCAGGGAUGUAACAGUAGUGUUCAAACUAAAAGAUGCAUUAUUUCCUGUUUUGCACAGUUCUUCCUCUGGUGUCAAACCAUUAUCAUCUAGCUGCUUGAUAGGCAAUAGAUAAUUUGUAAGAAAAACAGGGGAUGGAGUUACAUAUCCUUUAAUAUGCUCUUUAUCAUAGCUGGGCGUUAUCGUGAUAAGUUAUCGCGAUACUUUAUCGCUGAUAACAAAAUCGGGUUAUCGGCCAUCCGCUACUUAUAUAAAUAUAUCGGUAUCUUCGUUACUUUUGUAACCAAACUAGCGAGUCGCUACUUUUUUCCGCCUCUGAGAAAAAAAAAAGUCUCCUUCCUACUGCGCAUGCGUAGCCCGGGCGCCCGGUGUUGUAUGAAAAACUUUGGGGUAUGAAAUAUCUUCGGUGAAGAGAUUUCAUACUUUGAUCAUCAACAUUAAAACACUAGGUUAUUUUUUGUUUGACUCAAAAAUGAAUAUAUCUGAGAAAAAUCAUUCAUUUAACUUUGCCCCAAAAAUGAUUAUUCACUGCCUCAAAUUUGAUAUUCCAUAUUCGUUUGUGAGCAUGCCAUGGUAUUGAAGGCACCCGGUGUUGUGUUAUUUGGUGUCCCAUCGUCAAAAACUGCCGCCUUUGUUUACAAACAGUGGUCUCUCGUGAACUGCGCAUGUUCAGACCAGUAAGCGUAGCCCUGUAUAGUCUCACAAAGCUUUUUAACACAUUAAGAGUUGUUGGAAGGCUGAAUCAGACAUACACUACCACCAUCCUCGCUGUUUCUAGAACGACACUCUGUACAUAUAAAUACAAAUCGUACAGAGUGUCGUUCUAGAAACAGCGGGGAUGGAAGCAGUGGUUCAGCCUUCCAGCAUCUCUUGAUUACCGUUAAAAAGCUUUGUGAGUGUACAGGUCAACGCUUACUGGUCUGAGCAUGCGCAGUUCACGAGAGACCAGUGUUUGAAAUAUAAGCGCCAGCUUUUGAUGGUGAGGACGCCAAAUAACACAACACCGGUUCAGGCGCUUCUACUAUUACCGUCCAUAAAUGGAUGCACAUGUGAAUUGGUUACCACAGUCUGCUGGUGAGAACAUUACUGGCAGUAGAGAGGUAGUGAGUGACUGCACCCAAGUGGUGCGAGAAAACAGACCAGCGUUGCUUCUGCUCUUCUGGCGGCAGAUCCUCGAUGCCUGCUAGUGCAUCUGUCAGUACCGAAAAGGCAAGGGCGAUGUGGUUGUCACUGGUACUAGGCGAGAUGACAACAUGGCUGGAAAUGAAAAUAUCACCAAUAGCAGUGAUCUCCUUUCAUCUACACACCAAAAACAAUUUUCAUUGAUCUAAGAAUGUCAUUCACUCACUUGAACAGUGGGUGUCCUGGUAGCCCACGAGGGUCCAAGAAGGCCCUGUCCACCAUCAUCAUCUGGUCAUUCAGCUGACGUGCCACAAGGACACUGCAGUAAGAGAAAGGUGGCACCUACCUGGGCAUCAGCAAGGUCCACAGCCACCACCGCCCACAGCUGUGUGAGGGCUGCAUGGAAAUAGAAUCCUUGGUCAAACAGUUCAUCCACUGCUGCAAAGGUUUCAUACAGGGUGUGGUACAGGGGCUGAGUAUAC